rnacentral:rRNA from 1 species
CCUACGGGUGGCUGCAGUGGGGAAUAUUGGACAAUGGGGGGAACCCUGAUCCAGCCAUGCCGCGUGUGUGAAGAAGGCCCUCGGGUUGUAAAGCACUUUCAGUGAGGAAGAACGCCUGGUGGUUAAUACCCAUCAGGAAAGACAUCACUCACAGAAGAAGCACCGGCUAACUCCGUGCCAGCAGCCGCGGUAAUACGGAGGGUGCGAGCGUUAAUCGGAAUUACUGGGCGUAAAGCGCGCGUAGGUGGCUUGAUAAGCCGGUUGUGAAAGCCCCGGGCUCAACCUGGGAACGACAUCCGGAACUGUCAAGCUAGAGUGCAGGAGAGGAAGGUAGAAUUCCCGGUGUAGCGGUGAAAUGCGUAGAGAUCGGGAGGAAUACCAGUGGCGAAGGCGGCCUUCUGGACUGACACUGACACUGAGGUGCGAAAGCGUGGGUAGCAAACAGGAUUAGAUACCCCAGUAGUC